UUGCAGUGCAGUCUUUCUGUCCUGGGCAGGUUUGUUGCAUAUUGGCGGCUGAAGCUGGUUCAAUAUUUGCACCAAGAAGCAUACCACGCAUACCCUCUGUUGUAAGACUGGUACCCAGGUGACCGACAGCCAUGGCCACAUUUAGCUGUGCAGCUAUUCGUCCUCUUCCAGACCCCCUAACCUCUUCGUAAAGCUUUUCUCGGUGACUGGUAUAGUGGCACUUCUUACAUCGGAUGGAAAGGAUCAAUGCCAGGUCUCAUUUUUCGUCCCCAUGCUGAUUCCAGUCCAUUGAACCGUGAAAGUCUUGAAACUUUUUCUUCUUACGGGAACUAGAAAUUGGAC